UUAUACGCCCGUCUAUGACGGGACGUAUUAUGGUAUACCCCGCGUCCGUCUGUCCGUCCGUCCGUCUGUCCGUCCGUAUGUCUGUUAAUGUCGUACGCUACGUCAAAUAUCCUUUGACAGAUUUUCUUCAAAUUUUAACACAAUCUUAAUAUUGAUAAACCCUGAUCCCCUUUCGUUUUUGACGGAAUUCUGAAUUGUCGUUCCAGAGUUAUGGGACUUUGUUCGUCAAAAUUUCGUGAUUUCAUUGAAUGUCCUACUGUAGCUAUAUAAAAAUGUUAAAGUUGUUAUAACUUUGGUAUGCUUGGACCUAGAGUCUUGAAACUUGACAUGAAGGUUGGCCAGAACUAGUAAGUAACCACUGGACAUUUCAAGGUCAUUCAUUUGAAGGUCAAGGUCACUGUGACCUUGAAUGUAAAAAUGUUAAAGUUCUUAUUUCAUGUUAUAACUUUGGUAUGCUUGUACCUAGAGUCUUCAAACUUGAAAUAAAGAUUGGCCAGUACUAGAAGAUGACCACUGGUCAUUUCAAUGUCAUUCAUUUGAAGGUCAAGGUCACUGUGACCUUAAAUGUUAAAAUGUUAAAAUUGUUAUAACUUUGGUAUGCUUGGACAUAGAGUCUUCAAACUUGACAUGAAGGUUUGCAAGCACACUUAGAUGACCACUGGUCAUUUCAAGGUCAUUCAUUCUAAGGUCAAGGUCACACAAGGUCACUGUGACCUUAAAUGUUAAAAUGUUAAAAUUGUUAUAACUUUGGUAUGCUUGGACAUAGAGUCUUCAAACUUGACAUGAAGGUUUGCAAGCACACUUAGAUGACCACUGGUCAUUUCAAGGUCAUUCAUUCUAAGGUCAAGGUCACUGUGACCUUAAAUGUUAUUGUUGUUCAUGUAUCCUACCGUAGCUCAAAUAUCCCCCGAUGGAUUUUUUAUACGCCCGUCUAUGACGGGACGUAUUAUGGUAUACCCCGCGUCCGUCUGUCCGUCCGUCCGUCCGUCCGUCCGUCCGUCUGUUAAUGUCGUACGCUACGUCAAAUAUCCUUUGACAGAUUUUCUUCAAAUUUUAACACAAUCUUAAUAUUGAUAAACCCUGAUCCCCUUUCGUUUUUGACGGAAUUCUGAAUUGUCGUUCCAGAGUUAUGGGACUUUGUUCGUCAAAAUUUCGUGAUUUCAUUGAAUGUCCUACUGUAGCUCAAAUAUCCUUCGAUGGAUUUUUUUCAAAUUUCAACACAAUCUUAAUAUUGAUAAACCCUGAUCCCCUUUCGUUUUUGACGGAAUUCUGAAUUGUCGUUCCAGAGUUAUGGGACUUUGUUCGUCAAAAUUUCGUGAUUUCCAUGCUCAUGUACUUAUAAAAUAAACCAUGUAUUCAAAUACAAAUAAACUGAAGUAAAAAAAUGA